rnacentral:tRNA from 1 species
GAAGGUAUAGCUCAGUGGCAGAGCGUGUGCCUAGCAUGCACAAGGUCCUGGGUUCAAUCCCCAGGACCUUCA